GCGCUCGUAGUCUAGUGGUAUGAUACAACGUUGCCAACGUUGGGGACCGGGUUCAAUUCCCGGCGAGCGCA
rnacentral:tRNA from 1 species